UGGGGAAUUUUCCGCAAUGGGCGAAAGCCUGACGGAGCAAGACCGCGUGGGGGAAGAAGGCUCUUGGGUUGUAAACCCCUUUUCUCUGGGAAGAACACAAUGACGGUACCAGAGGAAUCAGCAUCGGCUAACUCCGUGCCAGCAGCCGCGGUAAGACGGAGGAUGCAAGCGUUAUCCGGAAUGAUUGGGCGUAAAGCGUCCGCAGGUGGCAGUUCAAGUCUGCUGUCAAAGACCGGGGCUUAACCUCGGAAAGGCAGUGGAAACUGAACAGCUAGAGUAUGGUAGGGGCAAAGGGAAUUCCUGGUGUAGCGGUGAAAUGCGUAGAGAUCAGGAAGAACAUCGGUGGCGAAGGCGCUUUGCUGGACCAUAACUGACACUCAGGGACGAAAGCUAGGGGAGCGAAUGGGAUUAGAUACCCCAGUAGUC
rnacentral:rRNA from 1 species